GUCUUUUUGAUUAUAAUUUAAAGUCUAACCUGCCCAAUGACUAAUUUAAUGGCUGCAGUAUUUUAACUGUACAAAGGUAGCAUAAUAAUUAGUUUUUUAAUUAAAAACUAGUAUGAAUGGUUGGACAAGAUAAAAGCUGUCUCUAUUUUAAUUUUAUUAGAAAUUUAUUUUUAAGUGAAAAAGCUUAAAUUUUUUUAAAAGACGAGAAGACCCUAUAGAGUUUUAUAGAUAUUUAUAUUUAAAUAUUUUAGAAUUUUAAUUUUAUAAUGUAGGUAUUUAUUUUAUUGGGGUGAUAUAAAAAUUAAAGUAACUUUUUAUAAAUUUAACAUUUAUAUAUGAUUAAUUGAUCCAUUAAUAAUGAUUAAAAGAUUAAAUUACCUUAGGGAUAACAGCGUAAUUUUUUUUGAGAGUUCUAAUCGAAAAAAAAGGUUGCGACCUCGAUGUUGGAUUAAAGUUAAUUUUUGGUGUAGAAGCUAAAAUAUUAGGUCUGUUCGACCUUUAAAACUUUACAUGAUCUGAGUUUAAACCGGUGUGAGCCAGGUUGGUUUCUAUCUUUAAAAAAUUUUAAUAUUUUAGUACGAAAGGACCAAAUAUUAAUAAUAUUUAUUUUAAAAUGAAUAA
rnacentral:rRNA from 1 species